rnacentral:rRNA from 1 species
AGUGAACGCUGGCGGUAGGCCUAAUACAUGCAAGUCGAACGGAAAGACAGUAAGAUUUCGCCUUUACGGGUGGCGAGUGGCGGAUGGGUAAGGAAUGGAUCGGAUUCUACUUUUUCGUGGGGAAUAACGGGGGGCAAGUGCCACUAUCACCUAAUACAUCCUACGGGUGAGAUCAGUGGUGAUAGGCACUUUGCCCGUUACAUUUAGCCGGUGCCGCAUUAGCUAGUUGGCGGGGUAACGGCUCACCAAGCCGACGAUACGUAGCCGGGCUGAGAGGGUGAUCAGCCACACUGGAACUGAGACACGGUCCAGACUCCUACGGGAGGCAGCAGUGGGGAAUAUUCGGCAAUGGGCGAAAGCCUGACGCAGCAAUACCGCGUGAGUGAAGAAGGUCUUCGGAUCGUAAAGCCCUUUUGUUGGGGAAGAACAGCUGUAGGUUUAUAUACCGCUGUUCUGACGGUACCUAAAGAGAAAGCACCGGCUAACUACGUG